AGUGCUUCAUCAGUUAAAAAAAAAAUUACAAAUUUCAUCUAUUGGAAGUCCGACACCAAGUUUCUUGUUUACAUAAUCUUAAAAUGUGUGGAUACACAAGUAAUUUUCUAGAGUUUUUUUUCCAACUUCCUUCUGAGCUUUUAUGGCCGCUUUAGCUGCCGCUUUCUCUGCCAAUUUUUUCUUUCUCUCUAACGCCUGCUUAGUUUUAGCCAUCUAUCUUCAAUUCCUUCAACUUCAUCUCGUCAACUUCAUUUUUCUGUGGAAGAGGAAUUUUUUUCGACUUUUCCAUCUCAAAUAUUACCUCUCUAUCUUUCGCAAGACAAUACUUUUGCAAUAGAAAUUUCUUCGGAUCAGAUUGUAUUGUAGCUCGUAUCGCCGCCGUCGUGAUUUUACAAGUAUAUUUUGACCCCCUCUCAAAAAUUUCUGGUUCUGCCACUGCUUAUACGGACCUAUAUAAACACUUUUAAGUACUUCACCAGACAUGUAUAUCUUAGCGUAUACAGAAAUUGGAUAAGAAUCUUACGAUUUCUAGAAUCCAGAAGUGAUUUCUCGGCCGAAUCCCGUCGAUCGGACUGCAGCGACAUGUAAAACGGACAUUUCGUUUUCCGACUUGGGAAUUGAUUAACGGCGGGAGACAAAGGACCAAAUGGAGUUCAUUU
rnacentral:lncRNA from 1 species